UCCAUUCAUGAGGAAGGAUUUCAAUCCCUGGUAGUGGAUCCAGGGAUUCCCGAUCAUGAGGAAGGAUUUCAAUCCCUGGUUGUAGAUCCAGGGAUUCCUGUUCAUGAGGAAGGAUUUCAAUCCCUGGUUGUAGAUCCAGGGAUUCCCAUUCAUGAGGAAUGAUUUUCUCUGGUUGUGGGUCCAGGGAUUCCCAUUCAUGAGGAAUGAUUUCCUCUGGUUGUGGAUCCAGGGAUACCUGUUUAGGAGGAAGGAUUUCAAUCCCUGGUUGUAGAUCCAGGGAUUCCUGUUCAUGAGGAAGGAUUUCUCCUGGUUGUGGAUCCUGGGAAUGCCAGAUUCCCGGGCCACAAAGGCAUCUGGCAGAGCCUUCGGGGCAAGGAAGAAGCCAACAAAGCCAAUUCAGCAGCUGUGGUGAAAUCAGCUGUGGCCGGGUAAAAGGGAAUUAAUUCCAGCAAGGGGGAAGGGCACACCCUGAGAAACUGCCUGACCCUAAACGGGACAAGGGCACGGCAUUAAUUAGCAUGAGGAACGAGAGAAUCAUUAACCAGCAGGAGAGAGGACACUAAUUAAUAACUGGCUGAGGAGAUGACGGGAUUACGGGUUGUGGUGGGAUGGUGGCAAACAGGGACAUUCCGCAGGGAACGUGGCUCAGUGACAGUACAGAUUUUUGGGAUGUGUGGCCCCCCAAAAAUGCCCAUUAUUGGCACACCUGAGCACCACCUGUCCCCAUCCCUGCUGGGGGAUCAGCACCAAGUCCUUCCUGUGAGGAACAAGUGGGCAAAGGCACCGGUGCCUUUGGAAUAUGCACAGUCACCCAUGUGGGAGCGGGCCUGAGUCACUGUGUGACCCACUGCCUAAUUCUGAGUUAUUCCCAAAGAACCUGUGGCAAACUGAGUUAUUCCCAAAGAACCUGUGGCAAAGUGAAGCACCCACUGCCUAAUACUGAGUUAUUCCCAAAGAACCUGUGGCAAACUGAGUUAUUCCCAAAGAACCUGUGGCAGAGUGAGGCACCCACUGCCUAAUUCUGAGUUAUUCCCAAAGAACCUGUGGCAAAGUGAGGCACCCACUGCCUAAUUCUGAGUUAUUCCCAAAGAACCUGUGGCAAACUGAGUUAUUCCCAAAGAACCUGUGUCAAAGUGAGAUACCCACUGCCUAAUUCUGAGUUAUUCCCAAAGAACCUGUGGCAAAGUGAGGCACCCACUGCCGUAUUCUGAGUUAUUCCCAAAGAACCUGUGCCAAACUGAGUUAUUCCCAAAGAACCUGUGGCAAAGUGAGGCACCCACUGCCUAAUUCUGAGUUAUUCCCAAAGAACUUGUGGCAAAGUGAGGCACCCACUGCCUAAUUCUGAGUUAUUCCCAAAGAACCUGUGGCAAACUGAGUUAUUCCCAAAGAACCUGUGGCAAAGUGAGGCACCCACUGCCUAAUUCUGAGUUAUUCCCAAAAAAAUUGUGGCAAAGUGAGGCACGGCAGCAGCACAGGGCCCGAUUCUGGGAGAAGGGCAGGAUCUUGGAAGUCCAACAUAAAUCAUUGCAGCAUUCCUGAAAGCUUCCUGUAUGAUUCAGUGAUAUUUCCCUGCCCACUCACCUCGAAUUUCAGGGGCCACAUUCCUUUCCUCAGCUGUAAUACCAAAGUGUAAGAUUCAGAGACACCAAUGUUUCAUUGGCACAUAUGAAAACAGUAUUUUUUAGCACCUUUUAUACAGAGUUUGUAUUCUUAUAUUGGAAUUUAAUUGAAUUAUACAUUUGAAUAAUUAGAAAAUAUUAUUAUUUAUUAAAUUUUUAUUUGGAGAACACACUGAUCUUCCUACAAAAAUUUAGUGCUUCGUUUUUGUCAUGAAAACAGCUCGUAUUUUUGGAACAUUUUGUACUUCAAAACAUUGGUUUUUAAAUCAGCUGUGACGGCCUGGGGCUAUCAAAGCUUCUUUGUCGGGUUUUUUGAUUCUGAAAUUCCAUCAAAUCAGCCAGGUUGGAGGAGGCCUUUCAGCUCAACACCUUGAAAUGGAUGGGCUGUGGCUGAGGAAGCGGUGGAGGUCCAAGGAGUGGAUCUCCUGCCCGGCUGUUCCGUUCCCCUUCCCGGUUUUCCAGGCUUUUUCCAGGGAUUCCGGCUGUCUGCAGGGGGCACAGUUGCCUCACAUUCCCGGCCACCCUUUGCCAUCCCAAUCCGGCUGCUGGGAAUCACCUCCUGCCAGAUUUUUAAGACAAAAUGCAGAGUCUUUCCCGAGGUCUAAAUUCACUAAUUGCAUCGAAACUUCUAAUUUCAUUUAAUGACUCAGAGCGAGAACAUUCAUUGGUUUAAUUGCCUUAAAAGAGGAAUUAUGAACCCAUUAGUGCAGGAAGGCACCAAACACUGAUGUUGUCUGGCCAAAGUGGGAAUUUGUAAUGGAUCCUGGUUAAUUCCAGAGUUUUGGCUUUCAUUAACUCCACACAUCCCACGUGGUGCAGCAGUCAGAGCAGCUGGGCGUGGAAAAAAAGGGAUUGCUCCUCCAUUUCCAUAGGUUUUGUCCCUCAAAUCAAAUUAUACUCAUCUCUGUGGAGCUUUGCUCUGUUCUUUACUUGGACAUGGUGGGACCACGCAUCCAAAACCACCUGGAAAGGAAGGAUUGGGAAGGGCUUUCUGCUGAGUCUGAGCCUCCCAGGUCCAAGGAGUUGUGGAGAACAUCCAGUUGAGAAGCACCUGCAGAACUGCUUUGGGUGACACCACAGCCAAAGCCACAAUUCCCAAAGUAAAAAUCGCACAGGAAAUGGUAAAAUCAACAACAAUACAGAAAGAAAAAGAAAAUAUCAGGGCACUGAGUAAUGGAGGAACAAGCUAUUCCUUAAGGAGAAGCAAGAAGCAGGAGAGGACAGCAAAAUGAUGUGAAAAGAAGCUGUUUCCAGAGCUGUAUUUGCAGCCUCUGGCUCUGGGAAUCUCUGUCUCCCUGAGCAGUCUGUGCCCCCGUGUCCCAGCUGUGUUACCAUCAUUAGGCCCAGCUGCCUGCACCGUGUCCAGUCCCUGAUGGAUCCAGGGGCUUUGUAGGAAAUCUUUGCUCCCCCUCCUCCCUGCCCUGCCCCACAUCCAGGGGCCAACUCAGCUUUCCCAGUUUCUGUGUUACAAAAUGUUGUCAUAAUAUUUAAUCUCCAGCCUUGGCCUCGGCAGCAGCUGUUUGAAAGGACAAUUUAUAUUCCCCAAAGUGCUUUGAAAGCCCUCGGGAAGCUCCCAAGAAGCUUUUUCCUGGUGCACAGAAGCAGCUUGUCCAGGCUUCCAGCUUUGUUUUGUGCCUGGCUGGAUCCUCUGGAUUCCUCCAGCUGCCCUCUCGUUUAUUUUGUGGUUUGCUGGAAUAUUUAUUCCCUGUUUUUUACGCUGCUCUCUCCGUGUGGGAGUCACAAAACGGAUGGAACAGAGAAAUGCCCAAAGUGAUUCCAUGGAAAGCAUUCCAAGAUGGGAGCGAGGAGCUGCUGUGAUGUUCUGGAAGGAUGGGAUUCCUCUUCCUUACAGUAGCUGCCACAGAGGAAAUGAAUCCUAGAUUUUCCCCACUUCCAUGCACAGCACCCACCCAGGGUCUACAUCCAGAUUUCUCCCAAAUGCAGAGAGACAAUUCCAGUGGCAAAAGCCCUGGCUGAUGGACACUGCCUGGGAGUCUUGGCAUGUCCUAAAAAACAGCCUCAGCCAGGGCAGGGUGGUGCCAGCAGGGAGCCAAAGCCGGGAUAAAGCUGCGGGCUCAGUGUCCUUUCAGCGGGAUCGUUCCCCUGUGAAUGGAAAGUGCCGGAACGCCGCUUUGCAUCUCGUUAUCCGCACAUCCAGACAGCGUGUGACAGUGGAUUGGAGAGUGAAUGUGCCACCUCUCCAAAGACAUUGGACAAACCACUAGUACAUCAAGUUUCUCCACCCCCAUGAAGGAAUGCAAAACAAUAUGUUAUUUACAGAAAUUGUGUGGGUAAGUUUUUCAACAGAAUGUAAAUUUAGAAGGCUUUAGAAAAACUUAAGAAUCAGGGUGACACAAAUGCUCACCCUCAGCUCCUGAUCCCUUCAAGCAUUCAUUUCCCCACCUGUGGGGAUGCAGCUGCUCCUCAGCAGGGCCAGGGCUGCUGGGUGUCCCUGGGUGCUCCUGGGUGCCCAGCUGGCAGCACCUUUACAGCUCCAUCUGAUGAAUGAGCCCUGAGAAGAGCCUCUGUCCCACUUCCUCUUCCAUCCUGGUGCUGGGGAUGCAGCAGGGAGCUGGCAAAGGCUCCCCGUGGCCACGGAAAUGCCAAAUAAACAGCGUGGACAGGCAGCUGCCACCUCCAGAGCUGCAGCCAGCCCUCACACCCCAUUAGGCCACGGAACAAAAGCACAAAUCUGGUGGUUUGGCCACUGGCAAUUUUCAUUUUUCUGCAGAAAAAGCUUCUGGCAUUUGUUAAAAAAGGGGGAGAAAAAAUAGCAGAGGGAAGAGGGCCAAAGGAUUUGAGGACUUGUUUAAAUAAUGGAAAAGCUGCUGCUGCUGGUUUUGUUUAUGUCAUCAAAAAAGGGCACAGCUUUGAAGUUACUCAUGAGCAACCACAGUGUUGGCUUAUAAAAGCAGCAGAGCUGUGAUGCUGCUGGGUUUGCACCUUUCCAGAGCAGAGCAUCCAAACAGGCUGAUCCUCACUCCCUGCUUCCAGCCCAGGGCUGCUGGCCUUACAGCCAGCUGAUGAUUGUUGAUUUUUAAUACAGAAAAAACAAGAAUCUUAAUAUUUCUCUCCCCCAAAAUAUUUAUUGUGCUACAGCUUCUUCCUAUGUCAUGGAAUGCCAUGGGAAAUCCAAUCAAGGACAACUGUCCUGGCUGUCCCCAAGCUGUGACACCUCCUCCAGCUACCAGGACUAGUAAAUUGAUAUUUAAAAACA